GCGCCGACGAUUUCCGGGGCUAAAACUUACUACCGAAGCUACGGCAUCAGUAAUGAUGGGUAGGGGAGCUUCCCAUACGGGUUGAAGCAUGACCGUAAGGACAUGUGGACAGUAUGGGCGUGAGAAUGUUGGCAUGAGUAGCGAGAUGUGGGUGAGAAGCCCACAGGCCGUAAACCCAAGGUUUCCAGGGGAAGGUUCGUCCGCCCUGGGUUAGUCGGGACCUAAGCUGAGGCCGAAAGGCGGAGGUGAUGGACAACAGGUUGAUAUUCCUGUACUACCGAGAACCGUUUGAGAGAAGGGAUGACCCAGGCGGAUAAGCUAAGCACCAUGUUGGUUAUGUGUGACCAACCAUUGGGGCCGUCAAAGUAGGCAAAUCCGCUUUGAUAAUGCUGUGAUGUGAUGGGGAGCGAAAUUGAGUAGCGAAGUAGCUGAUUUCACCGUGGC
rnacentral:rRNA from 1 species